GGUUCACUGUUGUCACAGAGUAAAGGCUCAGAUCAUCGAUUCACUUUCAUGCCAGUAGACGAUCAAAUACGGAAGAUUCGUAGAAACCGCAUAACAGACCGCAGCCACCGUUGUAGCACUGACGAGUCGCGCACAUGUAUACACCCCUCCCUUGUGUCCCUCAAGUCCUUCCCACUAAGUUGUUUUGUUUAUCCGUGUUGCUCUCUUUCUCCUCACAUUAUCUAUUCGCGAAACAUACAUAUAUGCCCAAGAGGUGCUCGUGAGGUGCUCGUGGAUCCCACUGCUUUAAAUACACGUGCGCAUUUUUUCACUGUUUCUUUCCUUUCCUUGGCUCGUUUUCUUUUUUUUUUGGCGCUCGCGUAUUGCGCACCGGGGCCACAGUGGUCUCUCUGUGCAGCAGCACGCUUUCUUCCCAUUCUUUCUGCUUCUUUUUCCAGCUAAGAAAUGGACGGUUACAGAACGGCCGCGGGCCCACCUGCAAAGGGGAGCCCGGCACGCAACCGGAUCGGUCUCACCAACAUUCAGAUGCGGACGGUGACCAUCUGCAUCGUUGGCCCAGCUGUCCUCGCCUUCAGCGGCUAUUCGGGGCGCUGCGCCGCACUUCUCGCCUUCUUCGCGACGUUCAUGUGCGGCAUCGAGUGGAGCGGCGUUAAGCGCCACCUCAAGGUCGCACUGCUCAUGUCAAUGGAGAAUACAGCGAUGCCAGCGCCUCAAUCGCCGAUGCUGCCUCUCACAAUGCUGGCCGACCUGGUCGCUCGACCGCCGCCGCCAUCGCCUUGCAUUGAAGGGGUACCACUCUGCCCCGAAGAGUACGACCUGCCAGUGGCCCCCAUCUCCCUCUACAAUGUUCUGAAGCACCUUGGCUGGGCGCUGCUGCCGCUUGCUGCAUACAGUGGCGAGCAGACUUUUCUUGUCACGCUCGAGUUCUACUUCGUCGUCUUCGUCGUUGUGACGCUGACGGCGCAUAAUCGGCUGGAGCUCAAGGUGGAGCAAGCAAUGAAGCUGCUGAGCCAGCAGUUAUCCUCCGGCUCGCAGGACAGCUCGCGUGGGGCGGCCAGCGCCGUUUGUAACGGCGGCGGCGCCCCCACCGCCGCGGCAGCAUGCAAGACUGAGCCGGACCUGUCUCGAACGGACCAGAGUGUGGCGAAGAAGGAGCGGGUGGCCAAGGCACAGCGCGACUACUUUCUCUCGAUGGAGCUGCACAUGAUCGCAGAACGGCAGCCAACGGAGCAGUUCCUUGAUUUCUGCCUUGAUAUCUUUGGCAUCGUGUGGAUUGCUGGCAUCGCUACCCCGCUCUUUGUCUACCACAUCACUGACGUCGGCCUGCCGUGGCUUUCCUCAACGUUGAUCGGCAACUUCGCGAACGACAUCGCCGCGCUGGUGGUGGGGCGCAGCCUCACCAUGCUGCGAGAGCGAUACGGGAAGAUCUACGAUGUGACUGGCGAGGAGCCGCCAGCCACGGGGGCGGCGAACCAGCCGAGGAAGCGGCCGCUAAAGGAGGCGAAUGGGCUCGUGAGGAUGCUGCUGCGCAGCCCGCACCAUCUUAACCGCGCCAUUAGUCCGAACAAGUCAGUGGAGGGUGCCGUGGCAGGUGUGAUUAUGAAUGCGGUCAGCUUUGCUGGCCUCAUGUUCUGGUUUUACCGGGAGUUGUGUGCUGCGCCGGCGGCAAAUGUUGUGGACCCGGCGUUCCAGAACGUCGCUCUGUGGCUACUCCUCGGCACCAUCAUGGGAGUGCUCGGUGUAUGCGGGGAUUUACUAGAGUCCCUGCUGAAGCGUGCUGCGCGCGUGAAGGAUGCGGGCUUCAUUAUCCCAGGGCAUGGUGGCAUUCUGGAUCGUGUGGACGGCAUGUUGCUUGUUUUCCCGUUCAUGCACUGUGCCCUGCGCGGCAUCAUGAGUCUGUCCAGCAACUCGGGAAAUCGUCGCUAGUUCUUCGCGGCGUAACGGGGUCAUUGUGCAGGCGUGUACUUUCAAAUGCCACACUAAAGGCGUUGCCUGUCUUUGUCGUCAGCUCAGGCUACUGGACAGCCGCGAUGAUAGUUGGGAACCAACCGAAUAAGACAAAAGCUGAAAGUGCGGUGCAUCCGCUGCGAGGGGCACUUGGAGCUGUACAUAAGGUAAACCCCUAGUACUUUAUAUUUCUCGUUGCUGGGGCGGCGGCGCAAGGCGAAGAUGUGAGGCGGUCACCGGCGGGCCUCCACUGUGUGCGGUGCUGGCGGCGUUGUGUGCGUGUGGUGGGGGCGGGGGUCUGCAUGUAAUUGUCUUGCGUUUCUUCGCGUUACGGCUUUCUUAUUUAGUCACCUUAAGCGGAUGUUGUGAGGACGCCUCGGUGUGUGGUGUCAGGGUCCCGUACCCUCAACUCUGUGUGGAGAAGCCAAGCAGCCCCCCCCCCCCCCCCCUAAUUCCUGCUAGCGCCAGAGCCACCUCUCGUGGUGACAGGGUCAGGUGCCUACGACGUAGAGGGGAAUGUCAGAGCCAUGCAUCACUGCUGAUGUGCCGGCGGUGGGGUCCUGGAUGGCGUUGCGUCGGAGCCGCCUGCGACAGUGAACACAUCUGUGCCAUCCAUGUGAUAGGCAGCGUGUCCGCGCGACUGGAAAUGCAUCUCACCUCCGGCCCUCACACUGCCUGCUGGUGUGGGGAGUCUGAGCAACCCCGAGGAUGAUGCGCAUCAGGUGGCGAUCGGCAUAAUGUGAACCGCUGUGAGGCAACCGGCGGAGAGGGUGGGCAGAAUUCGAGGCAGGGGCCGUGCUCGGGUGACUGAGUCGGCGCAUUGCUGUAGCACGUGCCCACGGCUGCUUUGCACGACGCAAGGUGGGCCGGAGGCGGGCGGGUAGAGCGCAGUUGAACCCCUGCUGUAUGACAGGGAAUAGACACGUCGAUGAACGGUAAGUUUGGCACACCUUUUUGUUGUUUUCGCUUCUCGUUGCUCUCCGGGGGAUGCAUAGAAUGCCUGUGUGCGUAUGAGAAGAGGUAACAGACGGGGUGUGAAGGCUUUGCUUGGUUAUAGAAGCUGGGCUGAAUUUCGCGCGCGCGCGCGUGCGUGUUCCUGUGCAGAAACGGAGGUGCAUGUGUUCUUCCGUUGCUGCAUGGCGUAUCAGGCCUCACUGUCGAAUGCCUUUCCAAGAUUUACUCUUGUCGUUGACAUCUUUGUGCUUAUUCAUUUGACUACGUUGUGCAUGCCUCUACACGCAUCGCACUGCCCUUUCCAUUUUUUGUUUUGUGUUUUGUUUGGCCUCGUCUGUUUGGGGAUGUGGAGAAACUGACGCACACACCCACACCCACACUUGCACAUGCAUAACGCAAAGAGGUGAGGAGGAAACCCCGAACGAAAGCACACACACACACACAUACACACGAAUUACUCGCGUGUGAGAGAGCUUUUUAUGCGUUCAUCUAGUCGCGCUUGUAUACUCGUGAUGUGCGGGGUUUACCCACCUCACAUAAAGGCACCCGCUCCUUUUCCCUGUCCGCUGCUGUGUGUGAUUCCAUGUACUUCAUCUUUUCGAACCGCCUCCGUCGUUCUGUUUUUUUUUUUUUCAGAUGGCUCCCGUCUGUGUCUCUUCCUCUUCUUGUGCGGUACACCUAUGUACCAACAUCCCCCCAUGCUCUAUUCCCGAUUGCGUGGUACUCGUGCGUAUGCGUGUGUGUCUGUAUGUUCCUCUCUUUGUCGGUGUGUUUGCUAUGAAUACAUAUCCGCUCAAAGGUGCACGUGCGCGCUCUCUCUCUCUCUCGCUGUAAUCAAAUGCAAACAGUAAGAAUAACCACCAAUAACCCUCCUACUCCUUCUCCCCCCCCUCCACGCCCCAAAGAAUAAACCAGGGGAGGCCCACAAGGAAACAGUGUCCAUCCGCUAUGAGUAGUGGGCCAAGCGUGACUGUUUUCGUGCUUGCACCAGUGCAUUGACUCGGUUCGUCAUAGACUCCGUGUACGCAUGAGAGGAGACCAUUGCAUCGCUGGCUCUUUAUUUUAUUCUCGAC
rnacentral:misc_RNA from 1 species